GACGAACGCUGGCGGCGUGCUUAACACAUGCAAGUCGAACGCUGAAGCUCAGCUUUUGUUGGGUGGAUGAGUGGCGAACGGGUGAGUAACACGUGAGUAACCUGCCUCCUUCUUUGGGAUAACGCCCGGAAACGGGUGCUAAUACUGGAUAUUCACUGGUCUCCGCAUGGGGGUUGGUGGAAAGGGUUUUUCUGGUGGGGGAUGGGCUCGCGGCCUAUCAGCUUGUUGGUGGGGUGAUGGCCUACCAAGGCUUUGACGGGUAGCCGGCCUGAGAGGGUGACCGGUCACAUUGGGACUGAGAUACGGCCCAGACUCCUACGGGAGGCAGCAGUGGGGAAUAUUGCACAAUGGGUGCAAGCCUGAUGCAGCGACGCCGCGUGAGGGAUGGAGGCCUUCGGGUUGUGAACCUCUUUCGCUCAUGGUCAAGCCGCAACAAUGGUUGUGGUGAGGGUAGUGGGUAAAGAAGCGCCGGCUAACUACGUG
rnacentral:rRNA from 1 species